rnacentral:siRNA from 1 species
UGGAUCGAAGCAUUUCUCUAGGCC